GACGAACGCUGGCGGCGUGCUUAACACAUGCAAGUCGAACGGAAAGGCCCUGCUUUUGUGGGGUGCUCGAGUGGCGAACGGGUGAGUAACACGUGAGUAACCUGCCCUUGACUUUGGGAUAACUUCAGGAAACUGGGGCUAUUACCGGAUAGGAGCUCCUGCUGCAUGGUGGGGGUUGGAAAGUUUCGGCGGUUGGGGAUGGACUCGCGGCUUAUCAGCUUGUUGGUGGGGUAGUGGCUUACCAAGGCUUUGACGGGUAGCCGGCCUGAGAGGGUGACCGGCCACAUUGGGACUGAGAUACGGCCCAGACUCGUACGGGAGGCAGCAGUGGGGAAUAUUGCACAAUGGGCGGAAGCCUGAUGCAGCAACGCCGCGUGCGGGAUGACGUCUUUCGGGUUGUAAACCGCUUUCGCCUGUGACGAAGCGUGAGUGACGGUAAUGGGUAAAGAAGCACCGGCUAACUACGUG
rnacentral:rRNA from 1 species